rnacentral:rRNA from 1 species
UACGUAGGGCGCAAGCGUUGUCCGGAAUUAUUGGGCGUAAAGAGCUCGUAGGCGGCCAGUUGCGUCCGCUGUGAAAUCCCGGGGCUUAACCCCGGGCGUGCAGUGGAUACGGGCUGGCUAGAGGCAGGCAGGGGAGAACGGAAUUCCCGGUGUAGCGGUGAAAUGCGCAGAUAUCGGGAGGAACACCGGUGGCGAAGGCGGUUCUCUGGGCCUUACCUGACGCUGAGGAGCGAAAGCGUGGGGAGCAAACAGG